UGUUGUGAAUGAUGAGAUCAUAAAUUAUCACAGUUAUCCCUGUCUGAUACAUUUUGUGCUGAAUACAUGUGAUCUGACACAAAC